AUUUUUCUCUGGUGCGGUGUGGGUCUUUAUCCGUUCCAUGUAUUUUUUUAAAUUCAGUGGUUUUCCAACAAGCAGUCCCUCAGAUUUGUUAAAUUGGUGAUAGUGCUUUCUGAUGUUUGACAGAGUACGUGGCUGGCUCUGUUCUCAUUCACUGACCCGCUGUUACAGGACGAUUUUGCUGGCCAGGCAGUAGAUGCAACAGUAACAGGAUGCAAAUGGCACGAGAAAGGCACCUCCAGUUUUCUGAGUUGAUCCCGUGCUAGACGACAGUCUCUCAUCGUUGCCGUGGAUUUCUCUACAAG